rnacentral:sRNA from 1 species
GAGCCUUGUUUAAGUAUUGAUGCAUGUGAUCUGAGUUACCUCAUGAAUUUUGAAGUUUUAUGACAUACUUGUCCUUUAUAAUGCCAUAUACUCAUGUAAAUCCUCCUGUUUUACAACUCUAUGAAGCUAUUUGUUUAUUAGUACACCAUUCCCCAUUCACUUAUGCAGAACAAUCAAGAUAGUUUGAAGAUAUUUAAACCAAAAUGUAAUUAGAUUAUUUGAGUGGGAACAAUUAGUCUUUAUAAGUAAAUAUUCAUUGCAAAUACUGUAUCAGAAAUUAACAGUAUAUAUGUGCUUUUAGUUUUUGCUGGUGAAUGGUUUAUGAUGGUACAAGUUGGAGAUCUGCACACAAAACAAAUAUUGAUUGAGCAUGAUUGGUUGUUGAAAGACUUUGAAAGGGUUUGUUACAAUUUUUCUUUAUAAUAAUGCCAUUUCUAGGCAACACAGUUCUGUGAAAUACCCAUUUCAUGUAACUGGUUAAUUCAGUCCAAACUGUGUCUGAAUGAUAAAUGAAGGGUUCUUUAUUUGUAAUAGUUUGUCGGUUUGUACACUUGCUGUUAAGGUUUUAUUAUAUUUUUUUAUAGUACAGUAACUUGCAUUACUGUCAGUUAUAAGGCUUGUACAUUCAACAACAAGAUAUCAAGAAAUAUGAAUAUAUGCUUUUGAAGUUCAUUCUUUAAAGCAGGCAUGAUAUAUUUGUCAUUUCUUAUAGAAACCUGGCAUGUUCUCUACCUUGAUAAUGAAGGGAAAUUGUUAACAUAUAGUACUUGAAAUCAACUCCUUAUUAGUUGUAUUUGUUGCAGAUUUUAGUGUUGAAUCUAAACAAUGUUUUCUUUUGUUGCAGUUUUUAAUUAAUAAAAUGAGAGAUAAAUUG